rnacentral:rRNA from 1 species
GACAGAGGAUGCAAGCGUUAUCCGGAAUGAUUGGGCGUAAAGCGUCCGCAGGUGGCUCAUCAAGUCUGCUGUCAAAGGCAGGGGCUUAACCCCUGAAAGGCAGUGGAAACUGGGGAGCUAGAGUGCAGUAGGGGUAGAGGGAAUUCCCGGUGUAGCGGUGAAAUGCGUAGAGAUCGGGAAGAACAUCGGUGGCGAAAGCGCUCUGCUGGACUGCAACUGACACUAAAGGACGAAAGCUAGGGGAGCGAAUGGG